rnacentral:rRNA from 1 species
UACGGAGGGUGCAAGCGUUAUCCGGAUUUACUGGGGUUAAAGGGUGCGUAGGUGGGUCUGUAAGUCAGUGGUGAAAUCUCCGAGCUUAACUCGGAAACUGCCAUUGAUACUAUAGAUCUUGAAUUAUCUGGAGGUAAGCGGAAUAUGUCAUGUAGCGGUGAAAUGCUUAGAUAUGACAUAGAACACCAAUUGCGAAGGCAGCUUACUACGGAUCGAUUGACACUGAGGCACGAAAGCGCGGGGAUCAAACAGG